CUUAACACAUGCAAGUCGAGGGGCAGCAUGGUCUUAGCUUGCUAAGGCCGAUGGCGACCGGCGCACGGGUGAGUAACACGUAUCCAACCUGCCGUCUACUCUUGGACAGCCUUCUGAAAGGAAGAUUAAUACAAGAUGGCAUCAUGAGUCCGCAUGUUCACAUGAUUAAAGGUAUUCCGGUAGACGAUGGGGAUGCGUUCCAUUAGAUAGUAGGCGGGGUAACGGCCCACCUAGUCUUCGAUGGAUAGGGGUUCUGAGAGGAAGGUCCCCCACAUUGGAACUGAGACACGGUCCAAACUCCUACGGGAGGCAGCAGUGAGGAAUAUUGGUCAAUGGGCGAGAGCCUGAACCAGCCAAGUAGCGUGAAGGAUGACUGCCCUAUGGGUUGUAAACUUCUUUUAUAAAGGAAUAAAGUCGGGUAUGGAUACCCGUUUGCAUGUACUUUAUGAAUAAGGAUCGGCUAACUCCGUGCCAGCAGCCGCGGUAAUACGGAGGAUCCGAGCGUUAUCCGGAUUUAUUGGGUUUAAAGGGAGCGUAGAUGGAUGUUUAAGUCAGUUGUGAAAGUUUGCGGCUCAACCGUAAAAUUGCAGUUGAUACUGGAUAUCUUGAGUGCAGUUGAGGCAGGCGGAAUUCGUGGUGUAGCGGUGAAAUGCUUAGAUAUCACGAAGAACUCCGAUUGCGAAGGCAGCCUGCUAAGCUGCAACUGACA
rnacentral:rRNA from 1 species